AUUCUGACAGGUGACUGGAAUUCAUACUUUCUUCCAACAGUGGAGACCUUCAACUCUACUUUGUGCACCUUCUUCCCCCACUUGCCCCUAAAACAAAACAAAACAGCAAAAAGGAAAACAUAGCAUGUUGGCUAAAACUGGAGCAAAGUGCACUAAAACAUUAACUUCUCGAACUGAAGUCUUGUACUAAGUCACCUUUCAAAACCAAUUGCUCUUUAGCCCUUUGUAGCACAGUGGAUGGGAGAGAGGAGACGUGCCAGGUGUUCUUCCAGGCGUUCUUCGAGCUUUAGGAGGUGCUUGUCAAGAGCUUUCUUUAUUUGGUGUAUUGUCAGAUCAGGAUUUUCAUAGCUGAUUGGAAGACUUGUGGGAAAACUUAUUUUGAUAAAUUAUUACACAUGCAGAAAACCUGAUCACACUGACUGGAUCUGUCCACAACAUGGAAAAUAAACUGGAUUUUCAG